rnacentral:rRNA from 1 species
AUUGAACGCUGGCGGCAUGCUUUACACAUGCAAGUCGAACGGUAACAGGCCGCAAGGUGCUGACGAGUGGCGAACGGGUGAGUAAUGCGUCGGAACGUGCCCAGUCGUGGGGGAUAACUACUCGAAAGAGUAGCUAAUACCGCAUACGAUCUAUGGAUGAAAGCGGGGGACCGUAAGGCCUCGCGCGAUUGGAGCGGCCGAUGUCAGAUUAGGUAGUUGGUGGGGUAAAGGCUCACCAAGCCAACGAUCUGUAGCUGGUCUGAGAGGACAACCAGCCACACUGGGACUGAGACACGGCCCAGACUCCUACGGGAGGCAGCAGUGGGGAAUUUUGGACAAUGGGCGCAAGCCUGAUCCAGCAAUGCCGCGUGCAGGAAGAAGGCCUUCGGGUUGUAAACUGCUUUUGUACGGAACGAAACGGCUCUGGUUAAUACCCGGGGCUAAUGACGGUACCGUAAGAAUAAGCACCGGCUAACUACGUG